rnacentral:piRNA from 1 species
UAAGGUCUAAUACAGCUGGUGACUUU